AACGUAGGACGCAAGCGUUAUCCGGAGUUACUGGGCGUAAAGCGCGCGCAGGCGGCUCGAAACGUCUGAUGUGAAAUCUCCUCGCUCAACGGGGAGAGGCCAUUGGAAACGGUCGGGCUGGAGGGCAGUAGAGGCAGGCGGAAUUCCGGGUGGAGUGGUGAAAUGCGUAGAGAUCCGGAGGAACACCAGAGGCGAAGGCGGCCUGCUGGGCUGCACCUGACGCUGAACCGCGAAAGCCAGGGGAGCGAACGGG
rnacentral:rRNA from 1 species